CCCCCCCCGCCCGCUAUACUCUUGCACCCUAAAUGUUUAAUUGUGCUGUUUUGAGAUGUACCACCUUUUUAUCUCCCCACUUGAGGCCAGGAGCAAACAGUUGUAUAUAAGUAUGUGAACAUAAUGAGAUUGUAUAAACAUUCAAUAAUAAUAGAGUUGAUUAAAUAUUUAUUGCAGAAGAAAUCAAAGAAGGCCACAAAGUUGUGUGCCCAUAGAAAUAUAGAACAGGCAGAAAUAAAUAAAACAAUUAUGGACAAGUCUCACCUAUGUGAACAAAGUGCUUUGUAGAACCGGGUUAGGAGAGAGAGACAAAGAGACAUGAAAAAUAGAUGGCCUGAUAGGUAGAAAAAAAGAGGGGGGCACUUUGGGAGUAGGAUUAAUUCAAAAUUAGGUAUAAAAACACAGAUGAUAUUUUACAGUGAAACACACAAAAGGUUAUUAUGCUGUUAGUAAAAAAGAGUUUGAAUAUGGAAGCACUCCUGGGUUUAUUUGAAUCACAAAAAACAAGAUUUGGGUUUAAACAUGAUGUCUGGAGGUUGUUUUUUUUUUCUGUCAAGAAUAUUUGAUAAUAUGAACAUGCUCCAAAGAAAAGAACAAAGACUUUAACAUUUGGAAGUGUUGAAGAAAGCUAAGCAAUUCGGGACUAUGAUCCUGUUGAGAGGGUGGGGGUAGAGGCUAUGGACACAGUCAAUAAAUACACAAGUUAGGAAAGAUAAAUAGAACAAACAUAUACAUAGGUAUCAUACAUAGGAUGAAGCAUAACAAUGAAAGGUCAGUGUCAGAAGGUCAACUUUUUAUCUUACUAUAACAAGCUCAAUACCAAAAAGAAAUA